rnacentral:lncRNA from 1 species
GGCUGUCACUCUCCACCCCCUCCCCCACACCUCCACCCUGGACCUUGGGCUGUAACUCUCCACUCCCUCCCCCCACACCUCCAUCCUGGCCCUUGGGCUGUCACUCUACACUCCCUGUCCCCACUCCUCCAUCCUGGACCUUGGUCUGUCACUCUCCACUCCGUGUCCCAAACCUACAUCCUGGACCCUGGGCUGUCACUCUCCACUACCUCUCCCACACCCCCAUCCUGGACCUUGGGAUGUCACUCUCCACUACCUCUCCCACACCUCCACCCUGGACCUUGGGCUGUAACUCUCCACUCCCUCCCGCACGCCUCCAUCCUGGACCUUUGGCUGUCACUCUCCACUACCUCUCCCACACCCCCAUCCUGGACCUUGGGAUGUCACUCUCCACUACCUCUCCCACACCUCCACCCUGGACCUUGGGCUGUAACUCUCCACUCCCUCCCGCACGCCUCCAUCCUGGACCUUAGGCUGUCACUCUCCACUGCCUCUCCCACACCUCCACCCUGGACCUUGGGCUGUCACUUUCCACUCCCUCUCCCCACACCUCCAUCCUGUACCUUGUGCUGUCACUCUCCACUCCGUGUCCCAAACCUACAUCCUGGACCCUGGGCUGUCACUCUCCACUGCCUCUCCCACACCUCCAUCGUGGACCUUGGGCUGUCACGCUCCACUCCCUCUCCCCACACCUCCAUCCAGGACCUUGGGCUCUCACUCUCCACUCCCUCCCCACACCUCCAUCCAGCACCUUGGGCUGUCACUCUCCACUACCUCUCCCACACCUCCACCCUGGACCUUGGGCUGUCCCUCUCCACUCCCUGUCCCCCCACCUCCAUCCUGGCCCUUGGGCUGUCACUCUACACUCCCUCUCCCACACAUCCAUCCUGGACCUUGGUCUGUCACUCUCCACUCCGUGUCCCAAACCUACAUCCUGGACCCUGGGCUGUCACUCUCCACUCCGUGUCCCAAACCUACAUCCUGGACCCUGGGCUGUCACUCUCCACCCCCUCUCCCACACCUCCAUCCCGGACCUUGGGCUGUCACUCUACACUCCCUGUCCCCACUCCUCCAUCCUGGACCUUUGGCUGUCACUCUCCACUACCUCUCCCACACCUCCAUCGUGGACCUUGGGCUGUCACGCUCCACUCCCUCUCCCCCUCCUCCAUCCAGGACCUUGGGCUGUCGCUCUCCACCCCCUCUCCCACACCUCCAUCCUGUACCUUGUGCUGUCACUCUCCACUCCGUGUCCCAAACCUACAUCCUGGACCCUGGGCUGUCACUCUCCACCCCCUCCCCCACACCUCCAUCCUGGACCUUGGGAUGCUUCCCGAGGCACCCCACCCACGGCCCUGCCCCGUCACCUCCUCUUGGCUGCCCCUCGGGCUCCUCUCCACAGGGCAGCCACAGGGACACCAUGGGAGAGCUGUCCAGACCUCCCUGCCAGCUGCUUCCCCGGGCUCCCGAGUCAGCGUCUGAGCCACACCCCCAGGCUGCACAGCCCCCACCCCACUGCAGGGCCAGGCCAACAGGGACGGGCUGAGGCCACGCACUCUGGUUAUCUCGGCGCCACCCCGGGCCACCGUGUGACACACUCACCAGCUGGAGGGCACAACACUGACUGCCCGCUGAGGCCUCGUUCCCACACUCCUUCUGCCCAGCUCACCCUGCCAGGCAGACGCGCACCCUCUGCACACAGCCCUGUGGCAGCAGAGCAUUCCUAGUCCCUCAGUGAGGCCACCUGAGGGCUCCCAGAUCUGGGGGGACUGGACGUGCCCCUGAGGGCUCCGCGUGCAGGGGCCUCGGUGGGCGGGGUCCCUGGCCUCCUGCUCACCCUUCAGGACACCGCAGGCUCCACCCGGCUGUUCUCAGAUGAGCCCAGAGCCCAGAGCCACCACAGGCUGGGAGGACUUGGCCUGGCUUCAAAUAUAACUCUGGAAUUUUAAGAGCAAUGUGCUAUUUAGGUUAACGUGGGCCACAGCCCAUUUCCCUCCCCAAACCAAGGUCCAGGAGGCCCACUCAUCCCAGCUAAGGGUGUGUCUGUAAGAGCGACCACAAGCCAGAGUUGUGACACAGGCUAGUGUCACAAAGGCUAGUGCCCUGGGGGCCUGGGGGAGGGGCUGGGAGGACCUGGGGCGACCCUAGGGGUGAGGUCUGGACCCAUCCCCAGGAGCAGAGCCCUGGGCACAGCGAGGAGUCAAGACAAGCAGGCAGGGCCCUGGGACCAGGCGAGAGGCUCCAUCCUGAGCCUUGGCCGGCCCCUCACCUGGGGGAACCCCGCCCCCGAGCCUGCUCCUGGUGCAUCAGUGGUGGCCUUGCCUGGUGGAGCCGGCCCACCGUGAGGUACCCAAGCUCCUCAGGGAGCAGCUGUGAGU